rnacentral:rRNA from 1 species
UUGGAGGGCAAGUCUGGUGCCAGCAGCCGCGGUAAUUCCAGCUCCAAUAGCGUAUAUUAAAGUUGUUGCAGUUAAAAAGCUCGUAGUUGAAUUUCGGGAUUGACGUGAUGGUCAUGCCUUAAGGGGUAUGAACUGUUACUGUUGAUUUCUCACCUUCUGGAGAAACUUGAUGUCCUUUAUUGGGUGUCUUGCGGAUCCAGGACCUUUACCUUGAAAAAAUUAGAGUGUUUAAAGCAGGCAUUUUUGCUCGAAUACAUUAGCAUGGAAUAAUAGAAUAGGACGGCGUGGUUCUACUUUGUUGGUUUCUAGGAUCACCGUAAUGAUUAAUAGGGAUAGUUGGGGGCAUUAGUAUUCAAUUGUCAGAGGUGAAAUUCUUGGAUUUAUUGAAGACUAACUACUGCGAAAGCAUUUGCCAAGGAUGUUUUCAUUAAUCAAGAACGAAAGUUAGGGGAUCGAAGACGAUCAGAUACCGUCGUAGUCUUAACCAUAAACUAUGCCGACUAGGAAUCAGACGAUGUUAAUUUUUUAAUGACUCGUUUGGCACCUUACGGGAAACCAAAGUGUUUGGGUUC